UCCCUGCUAGUUCAGUUGGUGAAGAAUCUGUCUGCAAUGCAGGAGACCCUGGUUCAAUUCCUGGGUCAGGAA
rfam:Ovis aries breed Texel chromosome 1, whole genome shotgun sequence.